rnacentral:rRNA from 1 species
UACGUAGGGUGCAAGCGUUGUCCGGAAUUAUUGGGCGUAAAGAGCUCGUAGGCGGUCUGUCGCGUCUGCUGUGAAAACUCAGGGCUUAACCCUGAGCUUGCAGUGGGUACGGGCAGACUAGAGUGCGGUAGGGGAGACUGGAAUUCCUGGUGUAGCGGUGAAAUGCGCAGAUAUCAGGAGGAACACCGAUGGCGAAGGCCAGGUCUCUGGGCCACUACUG